AAAUCAUGAUUUCCAUUUCUUUCCACCAGUUCUGACACUUCCGAAGCAAUGCUCUCACUCUAUGGCAAAGAAAGCAAAAGCAGCCCAGAAAACCCCUUUCCUUCCUCUCCACUGACCUGACCGCCCUUUCUGUUUUUUACAUCUGUCCAUCUGGUGAGGAAAAGAUUGAUUCUAGGAACGCGUUGGGAUCGCUCUGCCAGAAAGGAAAAAGCCGUGUAGACUGUGACGCCAAGUUAACCCUGGGAGGCUGAGGCUGCUAGUCUGCCAUUGCGCAGGGCAGCUGCAAGCAGUGAAGAAAUUUCGAGGCGAGGUGGCCGCUCGCUGCUGUCUGCUCAGGCGGCGCCGAGGCCCGUUCCUGCCAGCGUCGCGCUCCGGCCUCCGCCAGCCUCCCGUGUGCUGCUUGCUGCCCCAGCCGUGAGUCAUCAGAGAUGCUGAGGCUCCUCUAGCUUCGCGUUCCUGGCAGAGGUGUGGUUCCCUCCUAAAAGCGGAGGGGAGAGUUGCUAAGGAACACCCUUCACGUGCUGAGGGCACAACAGUCUUGCAGAGUUCGGGCUGCAGCCGUUCGACUCUCAUCAGAAAAUCAUCUUUGGAAAGAUUUGCCAGUGUACGAAAGCUCCCGAACUAAAUUAGGACCGGGAUCGUUCUCCCCUCCUCUUCCGAUCUGCAGUGCCUGGCAGAUCGGAGCCAUCACGAUUCUGUGCGUGUAAUGAAUUCCUGCCUGUCUCUAGGAAAUUAAGGGGGGCAGCUUCCUGUCCUGCGGUGGUGCCGGCAGACAGCGCUGGGGACAGAAAGGUAAAGGGGCCAGAGAUCUGGGUAGAUGCUCCCCGGAAUGCAGCGUGAGCCUCUUCUAGGGAUCAGGUGACAAAGUCAAGGUUAUGUCCUUGCAUCUGUGCACAGAGGCUUUAGAGGUCCCUCUUCUCAGCACCCAGAGAGCCCAGUCUUCACCCACUCGUUCCGGCCUUCAUUUCUUUGGGCUUCGGAUGUGUGCAGAAACACCAUGGUGUCAGCUGAGAGCAGUAUCCUCCCGGGCCGUGGGCUUUGUGCUCCUGGUGCCCACUCCUCUCAUCAGAGGGGACUGUGUCGGUAAACAGUCCUCCGGUCACCCAGACAGGAAAAGUUCCCGAACCACAAGAUCUUAUACAGAAGAGGAGCCUGUGACCUCACUGCAAUUCUAGGAGAACAGUCACGCGUGCAGGUCAAGACCGAUGCUCCCAGGAAAUAUGACGCUUGAUGUCUUCCUCUUCUAACUCUGGGACGCGUCCCCCAGGAUUCCCCAGAGGAUGUGCAAACACCUGAGCUCUGAUCAAGCCAGCCGGUUUUUGUAUGAGGGCUUCUGUCCUCCCCACGGUCGGAACUCUGAGAGGCCUCCUGUGACCAGGGUGGAAGAUACAUCCUCCUCUCCCAUCAGGGCUGAGCACAUGGAAUGCAGAGGUCAGCAUAGCCCUACAGCAGGGAGCAGGGGCUCUCCAAGGCCCAGACCCUUUGCACUGGGACAGUUCCCGCUCUAAGACGGCAGUUCCACGGGGUGCAGCACAGCUGAUGACAGCCCCUGGGCCUAUGGAGCUCUGGUUUUACGCUUCAGUAAUAACAACUGUACUUCAGUAGUGACCUUCCUCAGCGGGAUCUGAGCACAGAAAUGACGUCUUCUGUAAUUGAGUCCUUCCUGGUCCACACCCCAUUCUACCUGUGCUCUGCAUGCUUGAGGGACUUGGUAAAUGUUUGGCAAUAGAUAAUAGCAGAAUCUGUUGUCACACUAGCAUUGGCAGAACUAAUUCUGGCCAGAAAUGACACUGUGCCACUGUGUGUUCACUCUUCAUCCCUUCUUUCAUUCCGUGAGUAUCUCUUGAGCAUCGGCCUGAGUACUACAUGCUGCCUUGCAAUAAAUGUGUGUGUUCGC